rnacentral:tRNA from 1 species
GGAGAGGUGCCGGAGCCUGGCUUAACGGGCCCGACUCGAAAUCGGGUGACCCCUUAACCGGGGUCCGCGGGUUCAAAUCCCGCCCUCUCCG